UUGAGUAAAACGGUCACGAAAUUACCGUAACAGUAAUAUGUGUGCUAAACAAUGAAUAGCUGCGGUCUUCACUGGAUUUCUGAAGUGCUGUUGGCUUGAUAACAUCUUUUUUUCUUCUUUUACAUCUAGUGUCAGUUUCAAAAUAGGUUGUCAUUUGUAAAUGGUAAUAGCAAUAUUUAAUAUUUUGUUUUUAUCCGUUUUGUUGAUGAAUGUUCAAUGUUAUAACAGCAACCAAUAAUUAUGUGGCAACAUAUACAAAAUCAAGCUAAUUUUUUGUUAUGGGAAUACAUUUAAUUUUCUUUAGGUGCACUUGUAAUAACUGUGAAAAAAUGCCAACAGAAGUAGAAAACAUCUGCUGCAAAGAAACACAGAAGGUUGUCCAGCGUAUGAUGCAGGUUCCAGACCCUCCUACUUGCAUGGUGCAGCAUCCUGGUUUUGAACCCAAUUGUUUAAACAUGUACACAUUACAGAAUAUAAAUAAUAUAUACAGGGCAGACUAUGGACCGUUGAGACACAGAAAUGUUGAAGAGCGUUUCCGUUAUCUGUCAUAUCGCAGCUUUGUUAGCUGGUGCUGGGGCUGGCUAGGACGUGAAGUGAGGGUUGUCA